rnacentral:rRNA from 1 species
GAGGUCAAGCAAAUCCCAUAAAGUUGUUCUCAGUUCGGAUUGUAGUCUGCAACUCGACUACAUGAAGCUGGAAUCGCUAGUAAUCGUAGAUCAGCAUGCUACGGUGAAUACGCUCCCGGGUCUUGUACACACCGCCCGUCACACCACGAGAGUUUGUAACACCCGAAGCCGGUGGAGUAACCUUUUAGGAGCUAGCCGUCGAAGGUGGGACAAAUGAUUGGGGUGAAGUCGUAACAAGGUAGCCGUAUCGGAAGGUGCGGCUGGAUCACCUCCUUU